rnacentral:lncRNA from 1 species
UCAAAUUGGGAAAUCAAACUAACCAUCACGGUUUAAGCUCUCACAAGGGGCAGUUGGAAUUAAAGAGAGGUUAGGUUCUCUUUCAAAAAACAGAGAAGUGAUUGGUCUUAAAAGAACUGACUAUUGAGAGCCUAUCUGCCAGAAUUGAUAAAAACCUCUUCUUCUUUGUAUUUAAAAAUGAAAGAUCUUUUAAGAAUUUUG